UUUAAAAUUCUAGACAACUAUCUUCUAUACCGAACAGGCAUUCUCUCUUUGCAGCCCCUUCUGUCGCCCAACCCUUCUCUCUCUCCAGAUCUCUCGAUCCCCUCUCUCUCCUCUCUUGUGACCCAUCUCUCGGCGUGUCCUUCUUGUUUCUUUCUUGUUUCUCUGCCGCCUCACUCUAUUAUUGCUCAUCGCUUGAAGCAAGCCCUAGGCCACCUCCUCAACUUCUCUUUCCCCAAAUCGAAGAGGCCUUCUACAUGUAUCGAUUCCCCUCUAAUUACUACUGCUCUCUCUCUCUCUCUUGGUUUUUCUUUCUUUUUUACAAGAUCCAUGUUUUUUUUGUAUUGUGACGCAGACGUGAAUGAGGUUCUUUGCAAAUUGGAGCUCACAAUGCGAAGGCCAUUUUCCAGUGGAUCUGGGAAAUAAGGAGAAGGGAAUCAAAUUUAAAUUAGUUCCCUAAAUUCUCAUUGAGAAGAACAAUGGGAAUAAGACGGUGCAUCAGAAAGGUUACUUGGUAGAGUGAGGUCUAUAGGAUGUAGUUGAUGGGACAGAACCAAAAUCGAUUGCUCGAGAUAGCAUCUCCGCAAGGACUAGACCUAAAAGCAUGUGGAUAGCGCCUCUUGUGGGUACGUUGAAGCUCAAUUUUGAUGGAAGUUCUCUUGGUAAUCCAAAGAUAGCUAGUAUUGGUGGCAUUCUGAGAGACUGUGAUGGUAAUACGCUCUUUUGAUAUGCUGGGCCGAUAGGGUAUGCAACGGCAAAUUUCUUUGAACUGCGUAUGCUCUAUCAAGGUUUGGAGAUUUUUAGAGACAGAAACUGUGGCCAUUCAUGCUGGAUAGAGGGGGACUCUCUUAAUGUGGUUAAGUGGUGUAAUAAAGAAUAAUUUAUUCUUUGGAAACUUAGAUCUCUCUAGUUACGCAUCACGGAUUUGUCUUUUACCAUUACGGUCUCUUUCACUCAUAUUUACCAAGAAGCAAACUCGACGGCAGACUGUUUGGCCAUGGGGGCUGCCUCUUUAUCUUCUCUUGUUACCUCUGAUAAUGUAAUAACGUUCCAAAAGCAUUAAUAAGACCAUUAACAUUUGUC